rnacentral:tRNA from 1 species
GAGGAUAUAGCUCAACUGGUAGAGUGUACACUUGGUAUGCAUGAGGUCCUGGGUUCAAUCCCCAGUACUUCCU